ensembl:lncRNA
UCCAGAUAAACUGCUGGAUGAAGAGGUGCACUGGGUGAGGUCUGGAAGGGUCCUGAAUGCAGGAACUUCUGUCCCCAUGGAGUUGGAAUGUGUUACCUUCCUGGUACAUGGGUUUGUUCACCACCUCAGGAAUUCUACAAACAUCAUCCUUUUGGGAUUUUUAUGGAUGCUUCAUCAUUGUGGGCUAAUCAGCAAGAGGACUCGACCUGGAAACUUACAGCCUCUGGGUUGUUCCCGUGUGAAUACUCUCAGCGCAGAGAACAGAAGAAAAGACAAUUAGUCCAGGCUGUCAGGAAAUCUGCACAAGCUGCUUCGUUCCUGAAAAUGGUCCUCUUUUUUUCCCCAAGAUCUUCCCUGGCUGUGGCACAGCUCACACGCUGCAGGGAGCUGUCAGCUCCGUGGAGAGACUGGAGGAAUUAAAAAUAAAAUUGACUUUCAGAGAACAAAAUUGGACCUGACAACUCAAGUCACUCAAACCAGCCAUGGCUAGAUGAUUGCAAAUAUGUUUGUAAAAAGGAGGUGGCAGAGACUGGGUGGGGAGAGGUUCUCUCCGGGAGGAACUCUGGGAACGUGUUCAUCUCCUGAGAUGAGGUUUCCAGCAACCGCCCUGUCCUACCAUGUUCACUGCUUCUCUUUGCAUCCUUUUCACGGUCUGGGCUCAUGUCUGGUAAGCUGCAGACCUUUCACUAAUUACAGUCUAUCCUCAUUAUUAGCAGACUCCGCAUCUGUGAAUUCACCUCCUUGCUGAAACUUAACCUCGAAUCGUUCACAGACAUGCACAGAGUCGUGGAAGAUUCGACUCAUUCAGCACCCAUGUUCUCACCUGCGGUGCAACAGUGAACUGCUCUGCCUUCUCAUUCAGCUCUCAUGCUGCGAACAGGCCUCCUUUCGUGGUCUGCUUUGUGCCACGUUCAUCACAUUUCUGUGCACUUUGUUGGUGAUUUUUCCAUUUACCAUGGCCCCCAAGCACAAUGUCUGGUUGCGCUCCUGAGUACAGGAAGGCCGUGGUGUGCCUUAAUGAGAAAAUGCUUGUGUUAUACAUGUUUCAUACUCUUCAUGGGGUUCUCAAGGCAAGAACACUGAAGUGGUUUGCCAUUCCCUUCUCCAGUGGACCACGUUAUGUCAGAAUGCUCCACCAUGACCCGUCCGUCUUGGGUGGCCCUACGUGGCAUGUCUCAUAAUUUCAUUGAGUUAGACAAGGCUGUGUUCCAUGUGAUCAGCUUGAUUAGUUUUCUGUGAUUGUGCUUUUCAUUCUAUCCUCCUUCUGUUGGAUAAGGGCAAGAGGUUUAUGGAAGCUUCCUGAUGGCAGAGACUGGCUGAGACAGACACUGGGUCUUGUUCUGACGGGCAGGGCCAGGCUCUGUAAAUCUGUAACCUAAUUUUCUGUUGAUGUGUGGGGCUGCGUGCCUUUCCUGUUGUUUGACCUGAGGCCAAGAUAUGG